rnacentral:rRNA from 1 species
GGAUCAUUACUGAGUUACCGCUCUACAACCCUUUGUGAACAUACCUUAAACCGUUGCUUCGGCGGGUAGGCCGUCCCCUGAGAAGGGCGCCUCCCGGCCCGGCCCGGCCCCCCCCGCGGGGCCGGGGUCAGGCGCCCGCCGGAGGAUUACCAAACCCUGUUUUAACGACGUCUCUUCUGAGUGGCAUAAGCAAAAUAAUCAAAACUUUUAACAACGGAUCUCUUGGCUCUGGCAUCGAUGAAGAACGCAGCGAAAUGCGAUAAGUAAUGUGAAUUGCAGAAUUCAGUGAAUCAUCGAAUCUUUGAACGCACAUUGCGCCCGCCAGCAUCCUGGCGGGCAUGCCCGUUCGAGCGUCAUUUCAACCCUCAAGCGCCGCUUGGUUUUGGGGCCCUACGGCGGACGUAGGCCCUUAAAGGUAGUGGCGGACCCCCGCGGAGCCUCCUUUGCGCAGUAACGUACCGUCUCGCACUGGGAUCCGGAGGGACUCCUGCCGUAAACCCCCCCCCCAAUCAUCAAAGGUUGACCUCGGAUCAGGUAGGAAUACCCGCUGAACUUAAGCAUAUCAAUAAGCGGAGGAAAAGAAACCAACAGGGAUUGCCCCAGUAACGGCGAGUGAAGCGGCAACAGCUCAAAUUUGAAAUCUGGCCCCAGGCCCGAGUUGUAAUUUGCAGAGGAUGCUUUUGGCGCGGUGCCUUCCGAGUUCCCUGGAACGGGACGCCAUAGAGGGUGAGAGCCCCGUACGGUCGGACACCAAGCCUCUGUAAAGCUCCUUCGACGAGUCGAGUAGUUUGGGAAUGCUGCUCAAAAUGGGAGGUAUAUUUCUUCUAAAGCUAAAUACCGGCCAGAGACCGAUAGCGCACAAGUAGAGUGAUCGAAAGAUGAAAAGCACUUUGAAAAGAGGGUUAAACAGCACGUGAAAUUGUUAAAAGGGAAGCGCUUAUGACCAGACUUGCGCCCGGUGGAUCACCCAGCUCUCGCGGCUGGGGCACUCCGCCGGCUCAGGCCAGCAUCAGCUCGCCGUCGGGGACAAAAGCGUCGGGAACGUGGCUCCCUCCGGGGAGUGUUAUAGCCCGUCGCACAAUACC